GCUGAUAAGAAAAGAAACAACUUUCUGGAAGGCUGAAACUCCCUACACUUGUGAGAUCAAGAAAAAACUGGCUGAAAUCGGUUGGAACCAAGUUGGCGGAUUGGAGUUUGUGCAGCAUGAGCCUGCUGAUGUCACAGCCUGAAUUUCCACUCAAUGUUUCAUACUAACUGCUUCUGAAUUUGCACAUGAAACCCAUGAGGUAGCAUGAAGAGGGUGACUGAGAGCCUCUCAUAAGAUGUGCACCUGAAUAUCAGUCUGAAUCACUGAUGCCCUCUUUGGGACCAGGGAGGACUCUAUACUGCAGGGGGCACUAGCACUCUUCAUUUCUCUAAGCCCAUGAGCAAGUCAAGCCUCAGGGAACUAACUUCAAGAGUGGGAAAGAGAACUUGAGACAGGAAGCAGAAAGGAAGGAAAAUGGAAUGCAGUGGUACCCAUCAUUUUGAGGGUAUGCAUGUGUCACAUGAAUCAAGAGAAGUUACUGAAGAGGAGGUGGUCUUCAUUCUUCUUGCAGGCUUCAUCUUACAAAUAUCAAUUGUUCUUAUAAAGCCGCAUAAACGACAGUAAUUCCAAGUAGGUUCUAGGUCUAUAUGGGAAAGAUAAUACAGUAAAGAUCUGUAAAUAACUUAGGAGAAUAUCUUUAUGAUAUCCUGGUUGACAAUUUUUUCAACAGGACACAUCCACGCACUCACAAUUUAUAUACCAACAUUAUACAGUGACAGGUGUUUUUACAUAAUUUAACUCUGUUCACACCAUUUCAUGUUUAAGAAUAAUGCCCCACUUCUGAAUCUUAGAAAAUUAAAUUUCAACAUAUCACUGGCCACUGACUUUCCAAACCCAGUGGGUACAUGAUGAAGGUGACUUUUUAAAGGGAAAGUAAGAAAGCUGGUUAGAGCUUUCAUGUGGAUCAAAGCUCAACUCAAGCCAACCUUUAGGUGGACCUCAAGAAUUUUUGUAGUUAAAAUCUAGACUCCUUUUAAAGAGGAGCAUUAGAUAUACUGAAAUUAAGAAAAAGGCAACUCUAAUAUUUUUUAAGAAUAUAACACAGCAGGAAAUGAGUUAGCUGAUUUACAUGCACUGCUUUUCUUAACCCAUACGAUAGUUCUAUAUGGCAAAUAUAAUUAUGCUCAUUUUUUUUUUAGACGGAGUUUUGCUCUUGUUACCCAGGCUGGAGUGCAAUGGCGCGAUCUUGGCUCACCGCAACCUCCGCCUCCUGGGUUCAGGCAAUUCUCCUGCCUCAGCCUCCUGAGUAGCUGGGAUUACAGGCACGUGCCACCAUGCCCAGCUAAUUUUUUGUAUUUUUAGUAGAGACGGGGUUUCACCAUGUUGACCAGGAUGGUCUCGAUCCCUUGACCUCGUGAUCCACCCGCCUCGGCCUCCCAAAGUGCGAAGAAGCUGACUGACAGGGUAGUUGAGCAACCUAUUAAACAUCACACAGCUAGGUCAUAGCGGAGCCAGGGCUGGGAUCCAGACAGUCAUCUUCUUUGACUGUCUAUAAACUCCUAUCAAGGGGAGAAGUUACUUGGCCUGGAAAUUUUUCAUAGCAUAUGCUAUCCACUAUUGGCCUCCACUGUAGGAAAAUCUUGCUUUUCCUUCCAUGGAACACAGGGCUUCCAUGUGCCUUCUUUUUAACAUAACUUCUGUGAGAUAUUUUUUAAGUAAACUGAGAGAUAUUUAGAAUUAGAUUCAUAUAGCUUUUGGAAAUUUUUUGCUGAAUGAUUUCAAAUAGCGUAUCUAACUCUGGAAUUACAGAGCUUUUCCAUGUUUCAUGGAAAGGAGAAGGGGCACCUCUUUGUUACUGAAGUUGAGAAAUGGAAGUCAGAACUCCACUCACAGUAUCCAUAGCUGUAUUAGUCAGGGUUCUCUAGAGAAACAGAACAAUAGGGAACAGAACCAACAGAACUAACAGAACCAAGUUCUAUUCUAAGCAAUAGAAUAGCAUAUAUCCUAUCAUACAUAUGUAUAUAUAGAGAGACAUUAUAUAUAGAGGUAUAUACAUACAAAGAUAUUUUACACAUAUACAGAUUUCUCUCUUUCUGUAAAAAAGAGCAAUGGGCUCAAACAAUUUUGGGGACUGGCAGGUUGGAAUUUGCAGGGCAAAUUCCAGGGGGAUUACCCAGUAAUGGUGUUUGCUUUGGCAUUGUAACCUGGCCUUAUAAUCUUUCUCUACAAGUGUGCUGACUCAGAGCCUAGGAGAGUUAAUAUUGUAGUCUCCAUUCUGAAGGCAUCAUUCCUUUUUUCUUGGGAGACCUCAACGGAUUGGGUGAGGCCCAUUCACGUUAUGAAGAAUAGUCUGCUUUACUCAGCCUAUGGGUUUAAAUGUUAAUCACAUUAAAAGAAGUAUCUUCACAGCAACAUCUGGACUGGUGUUUGAUCAAACAUUAGGCACCAUAACCUAGCCAAGUUUACACAUAAAAUUAACCAUCACAAUGGCCAUACGUCCCUCAAAAAGGGGAGAUGUGUUACUUGUCACCUUAUUACUCAAGGUUAAGGAUGGAAUCCAGACUCUGCCCAUGGUCUCAAGGUUACCCACCAGAGCGGGAGGCAGGGAAGUGGUGGAGGUUGAAGCUUGCCCACAAUCUUAGCAGACACCAUUUCAGUGGAGAAAGGAUAAUAUGUCCCCUUGUUACUACAAGAGAGAUGCAAU